rnacentral:lncRNA from 1 species
UGUUGCUUAAUAAUAAAGGAGACUACAUAGUGCCCAACUAUAUGCUAAUCUAGUUCAUGGUAUUGUUUCAGAAGGUUCCACACUUGAGAUGGCCUUCUAGGAGAAGGUACACUUGAGAUGGCCCUCUAAAAGAAGGUAACUUUAGAGAGGUCCAACAUGCUAGUCUCCAAUGAGUAGACCUCAAACCUAUAGUAGGAGUGAGGAGUCACCAAUGCCA